UGCACAUGUUGCUGACCUUUUGCUCUUCAGUUUUGUACAAAACUGUUGCCAACUACCAAAGAAUACAAUUUAAAGGAUGCCAUUGUAUGCAUUUUCUGACUGCUGAAAAAUUCUCUUCAACCAAAGGCACCUAAGGUCUUGUGUGAUAAACUGUGGCAAAUUACAUUUUCUGCUGUCUUCCUUUACAUUUCAUCUUGAUAUUUUCAGCUGGCUUCAUCUCGAUUUUCUUCUGUAUUGCCUUUGCUUUAAGCGUUGCUAAGUGUCUUUCGGUGUUUGUGAUUGGUCAGUGUUCUGUAAAGUUUUUGAGGAAAAAGAGAGACUAUCCAUGGAUUAUUUUCUUGUACUCUCGAGUGAAACAAGAAAGGGGAGACUUGGGGGGGAGAUUCAUACAAGAUUUAGUUCUCUCUUUCCACCUCAAUGCACGGUUCGUGUCUCUUGAAGCUUCCUUUCUGCUUCUCCAUCGGAGUCAACAUAUUAGCCUCGUACCAGGAAGAAAUCCAUGUAUAUAUAUGCAUGGUUUCGCAAGUCGUCAAACCAUCUCACAAUAUGUGGAUAAUACUGUUACCAGGCAUGGAGUAAGAUUGAGGGAGGCACGGUUGUGAGGAGUUGGUCCGACAUCUUUCUACCAGGAUUUUAGAUCAACGAGACACUACUAUACUUGCAAGCUGUAUAUGAGUCUGGUUGGAUUGCUCUCUCUCUCUCUCUCUCUCUCUCUCUCAUCACUCUUUGGUGCCAAAUCCUGUCAGUGUCAAGUGAACUGUCAGUUAAGCUGAUAUGCCUUCGACUCGGCCUUUGUAAUGCUUUGUGGUCUUUAUUUGCCAUUGUGCCUGUCUUGUACCAAUGAAUUUGAGCCAUUUUUUUGCGCAAUGUCGAGUCAUCAUUGUUUAGAGUAAUUCUACUAGACCAGACUAAGUACAAUUAAAAGAGACCUCCAUUGGGUUUCACACAUUAGAGACCAGCUAAAGAAACAUUUGAGGACAUCUUCUGCAUUGCGAUUUUUGUUCAUACAGGAUCAUUCAUGGAGUCUCUAUAUGAUAUAUUUUCAAUAUGCCGACGGACAGAACUGUUGAAGUGACAAUGUAUGUUAAUCGCACCAUGUGUGAAAAAUAAUUACACCCCUAUAUGCGUUUACAAGAUGUUUGGAGUUUGUCCUAAUAUAGUAGGCUUGGAUAACACAGCUCCUAAGCUGUAGCCGGAGACGAUGCACAGAACAAAGAUCGCCUCAUCCGAGAUAAGCGGGGAAGUAGUAUUGUACUAUCUCAUAUGAUUUUCGAAACAUCUCCUGAUUACAAUGUUCACUGGUUUUAUUCGAUCUCAUUAGGUCCUCACAGUCAGCUGAUUAAGCCUUUGGGCAUUCCCCAGAACUCAUCGAUCCCCUGCAUCGAAGGAUUGAGCCAACCGCGAACUUCUCUUACAUUGGACUUGGAGCAAUUUGAUAAACGUGUACAACCAAAGUAGUAUUGACGGGAUCAUUUGGUCAAGAAAGGUACAGAUUUGCUCAAAGAGACAGAGUUUUCCAGUUACCAUCCCCAAAAAACAGCUGAUCAUCAGAGAUCUUCCAAACGACAUCAGUCCAGAAACAGUUUUCUUCAAGCCUUUGUCUUUUCUUUUAUUGAUUAACAAACCCUUUUCUUGGUGUGAACAAGUGCACUCGAAGAAACCAAGAAAUAUGUCUUCUAGGUCUUUCCACCCCUGUGGAGAAGUAAAAACUUGGUCCGAAUGUUGUACUGCUGUAGAUUAUUAUUCCUUUCUGGCUAAUCAAUUAGACCCCAUUAAUUUUCUUGAGUUUAAUCAAUUCAUGUUCUCACUUCGUCUUUC